CGCUGGCGGCGUGCUUAACACAUGCAAGUUGAACGGGACGGAUAUUGAAGUCGACUUUCGGAGUGGUGGAUAUAUUGUUUAGUAGCGGACGGGUGAGUAAUGCAUGAGAACCUGCCCCUCAGAGGGGGACAACAGUUGGAAACGGCUGCUAAUACCCCAUAUGCCGAGAGGUGAAAGGAGCGAUCCGCUGAAGGAGUGGCUCAUGUCCUAUCAGCUAGUUGGUGAGGUAAGGGCUCACCAAGGCGAUGACGGGUGGCCGGCCUGAGAGGGCGACCGGCCACACUGGAACUGAGAUACGGUCCAGACUCCUACGGGAGGCAGCAGUGGGGAAUAUUGGGCAAUGGGCGAAAGCCUGACCCAGCGACGCCGCGUGAGGGAAGAAGGCCUUUGGGUCGUAAACCUCUGCUGUAUGGGAAGAAGGAAGUGACGGUACCAUACGAGGAAGUCCCGGCUAACUACGUGCCAGCCGCCGC
rnacentral:rRNA from 1 species